rnacentral:misc_RNA from 1 species
AAAGUCGUAACAAGGUAACCGUAGGUGAACCUGCGGUUGGAUCAUUAAUAAAUUAUAGAGCAGAAGGAGGUCAAGGCUCUUGGGUCAUGGCUUUCGACUGUUUCUUAACAUUUUGUGAAUCGUUUAUUGUCUCUUGCGGUUGGAGACUCGAUACCUCUUUAGAGGCAAGAGUCAACUCCGCAUGUGAAUCUUAACAUUGUAAUAUAACCAUCAGUCUUUAAACUUUAAACCUAAAAAUUUAAAAACAACUUUUGACAACGGAUCUCUAGGCUCUC